rnacentral:rRNA from 1 species
CCGCACAAGCGGCGGAGCAUGCGGAUUAAUUCGAUGCAACGCGAAGAACCUUACCAAGGCUUGACAUACACCGGUAACGCCCAGAGAUGGGUGCCCCUUUGUGGUCGGUGGACAGGUGGUGCAUGGUUGUCGUCAGCUCGUGUCGUGAGAUGUUGGGUUAAGUCCCGCAACGAGCGCAACCCUCGUCCUAUGUUGCCAGCGGGUCAUGCCGGGGACUCAUGGGAGACUGCCGGGGUCAACUCGGAGGAAGGUGGGGAUGACGUCAAAUCAUCAUGCCCCUUAUGUCUUGGGCUUCACGCAUGCUACAAUGGCCGGUACAAAGGGCUGCGAUACCGCGAGGUGGAGCGAAUCCCAGAAAGCCGGUCUCAGUUCGGAUUGGGGUCUGCAACUCGACCCCAUGAAGUCGGAGUCGCUAGUAAUCGCAGAUCAGCAACGCUGCGGUGAAUACGUUCCCGGGCCUU